UAUACGCAAGGACAAGGAUGUCAGGAGACUGGUGGACUUUCAGGAAGUGGAAAUUGUGUUAAAAAAUAAUUCAGAAACUUCUAGACAGGGCCAGUAUGGAAUGUCUAUGGCUCAAUUAAAUAAAAUUCUGUAUUAAUAAGUUUAUACAUUUUAAUUCCUGAAAAUCCGGUUUCUUCUUCAUUGUCAGUUUCUUUUCGUUUUUUCCUAGCAUUUGGCUUUAAUUCAAGUCAUAUUGACCUUACAUACAUGUAUAUGUACCAGUGAUUGAGCGCUUUAACUCUACUGCAGAGCUAUUCACAGCACUAUUCGUUGUUCAUUGUCCAUAAAGCCUAUUAUACUUGAAUAAAUCCUUUAAACUUU
rnacentral:misc_RNA from 1 species